rnacentral:rRNA from 1 species
UAGGGAAUCUUCGGCAAUGGGGGGAACCCUGACCGAGCAACGCCACGUGAGUGAAGAAGGUUUUCGGAUCGUAAAGCUCUGUUGUUAAGGAAGAACGAGUGUGAGAAUGGAAAGUUCAUGCUGUGACGGUACUUAACCAGAAAGGGACGGCUAACUACGUGCCAGCAGCCGCGGUAAUACGUAGGUGGCAAGCGUUGUCCGGAUUUAUUGGGCGUAAAGCGAGCGCAGGCGGUCAAUUAAGUCUGAUGUGAAAGCCCCCGGCUCAACCGGGGAGGGUCAUUGGAAACUGGUUGACUUGAGUGCAGAAGAGGAGAGUGGAAUUCCAUGUGUAGCGGUGAAAUGCGUAGAUAUAUGGAGGAACACCAGUGGCGAAGGCGACUCUCUGGUCUGUAACUGACGCUGAGGCUCGAAAGCGUGGGUAGCAAACAGG